rnacentral:rRNA from 1 species
AACGAACGCUGGCGGCAGGCCUAACACAUGCAAGUCGAGCGAGAACUUCGGUUCUAGCGGCGGACGGGUGAGUAACGCGGGGGAAUGUUCCCUUCUCUACGGAAUAGCCCUGGGAAACUGGGAGUAAUAACGUAUACGCCCUAUUGGGGAAAGAUUUAUCGGAGGAGGAUGAGCCCGCGUUGGAUUAGGUAGUUGGUGGGGUAAUGGAAUAACAAGCCGACGAUGCAUAGCUGGUUUGAGAGGAUGAUCAGCCACACUGGGACUGAGACACGGCCCAGACUUCUGCGGGAGGGAGGAGUGGAGAAUCUUGGAAAAGGGGGGCAACUCUGAUCGAGCCGUGGCGCGGGAGUGAUGAAGCCCUUAGUGGUGUAAAGCUCUUUCAGCUGGGAAGAUAAUGACGGUACCAGCAGAAGAAGCCCCGGCUAACUCCGUG